rnacentral:rRNA from 1 species
UACGUAGGGACCGAGCGUUGUCCGGAUUCAUUGGGCGUAAAGAGCUCGUAGGCGGCCACUCAAGUCGAAUGUGAAACCUCGAGGCUAACCUCGAGCCUGCAUUCGAUACUGGGCGGCUAGAGUCUGGUAGGGGGAGUCUGGAAUUCCUGGUGUAGCGGUGGAAUGCGCAGAUAUCAGGAGGAACACCGGUGGCGAAGGCGGGAUCCUGGGCCAGUACUGACGCUGAGGAGCGAAAGCGUGGGAGCAACAGG